CCUUCCUUGGUUACAAACUGGUCACCAAGGAUGGCCUAGCCCAAACCACCACACAUGGUUAAGAUAUAUGACACCUACUGCUUUUCCUUUGCCCACAAAGUCUAUGAUCAUGGGAAAUUAAAUAACUUUGACAGACAACUAAGAGCAGAGAAAGAUGCUGGUAGCUGUUGUGGCACAAACUGGUCAUGAAAUCCCAAUCCUGAAAAUCCAAGACUUGUUUACUGAAUAGUAGGUCUCAGUUCUUGCUCCUUCUCCUCCAAAUGCCAUUUGCAUCCCUUAUCCUAGCUCAGAAAACUGCUGGUUUCUGCUCAGUUACUACUAGUUGCCAUGCAAGAGCAUCAUGCAUCACACUGGGGAUGGGCAAUCUUUUUAAGGAGGAUCUGGGAGCACAUGGUUGCAGACACUGAAGGAUUUUUUCUGUUUUGAGGUACUGGCCAAGAAGGCCCAAUAUAGGCAGCCCUUGCCUGGGUUUCCAGUCUGUACAUGCCUCCCUAGGCACCUCAAGGCUGUAACUGUCGUGCUCAUAGAGAAUGGAUUGAGCAUGAAACCUAACAACAGGAUACAAAUGGUGGCAUUGCAGGUCUUUUGCAAGCCUUGCUGAAAGUUUUUUUGAAUAUUUGAUCUGGGGAAACUUCAACAUUUAAAAGGCAUUAUCUUGUGAAAAACAAUGGGUUUGUUACGGUUUCCUUCAAAGGCCUCAGUCCUUAAAUUCACUUCAUUGUCAGUU